UUGAGGGCAAGUCUGGUGCCAGCAGCCGCGGUAAUUCCAGCUCCAAUAGCGUAUAUUAAAGUUGUUGCAGUUAAAAAGCUCGUAGUUGAACCUUGGGUCUGGCUGGCCGGUCCGCCUCACCGCGAGUACUGGUCCGGCUGGACCUUUCCUUCUGGGGAACCUCAUGGCCUUCACUGGCUGUGGGGGGAACCAGGACUUUUACUGUGAAAAAAUUAGAGUGUUCAAAGCAGGCCUUUGCUCGAAUACAUUAGCAUGGAAUAAUAGAAUAGGACGUGCGGUUCUAUUUUGUUGGUUUCUAGGACCGCCGUAAUGAUUAAUAGGGAUAGUCGGGGGCGUCAGUAUUCAGCUGUCAGAGGUGAAAUUCUUGGAUUUGCUGAAGACUAACUACUGCGAAAGCAUUCGCCAAGGAUGUUUUCAUUAAUCAGGGAACGAAAGUUAGGGGAUCGAAGACGAUCAGAUACCGUCGUAGUCUUAACCAUAAACUAUGCCGACUAGGGAUCGGACGGGAUUCUAUAAUGACCCGUUCGGCGCCUUACGGGAAAC
rnacentral:rRNA from 1 species